CUUGGUCAUUUAGAGGAAGUAAAAGUCGUAACAAGGUCUCCGUUGGUGAACCAGCGGAGGGAUCAUUACCGAGUUUACAACUCCCAAACCCAUGUGAACAUACCCUUAAACGUUGCCUCGGCGGGAACCGGUCGCCCCGUAACACGGGCCGGCCCGCCAGAGGACCCCCAAACACUUGUAUCAUCUUGUAUCUUCUGAGUAACAAGCAAAAUAAAUUAAAACUUUCAACAACGGAUCUCUUGGUUCUGGCAUCGAUGGAGAACGCAGCGAAAUGCGAUAAGUAAUGUGAAUCGCAGAAUUCAGUGAAUCAUCGAAUCUUUGAACGCACAUUGCGCCCGCCAGUACUCUGGCGGGCAUGCCUGUCCGAGCGUCAUUUCAACCCUCGAGCCCAUCUGGGAUCGGUGUUGGGGAUCGGCGCCGCCCCCGGGUGGCUGCCGUCCCUCAAAUCUAGUGGCGGUCUUCGCUGCAGCCUCCUCUGCGUAGUAGAAACACCUCGCACCGGAGCGCAGCCUAGCCUCGCCGUAAAACCCCCAACUUCAUUAUCAAGGUUGACCUCGGAUCAGGUAGGAAUACCCGCUGAACUUAAGCAUAUCAAUAAGCGGAGGA
rnacentral:rRNA from 1 species